GUAUAUAUAUUUUGGGUUAUUCGACAGCGAAAUUGAUGCAGCAAGAGCUUAUGACAAGGCAGCUAUCAAAUGCAAUGGAAGGGAAGCAGCCACCAACUUUGAGCCGAGUACAUAUGAAGGGGAGAUCGUCCCUGUGGUGGCUAAUGGAGGCAGUAUCCACAAUCUUGAUCUGAACUUGGGGAUUUCUCCCCCUUCUUUGGCUGAUGGCACAAACAGGAAUGAGAGUACGGUUGGUUUCUGGUUCGAUUGUGGCCUUCAUGACAUGCCCGAUG